GGUGCUUGCACCGAGAUUCAACAUGGAACGAGUGGCGGACGGGUGAGUAACACGUGGGUAACCUGCCCUUAAGUGGGGGAUAACAUUUGGAAACAGAUGCUAAUACCGCAUAGAUCCAAGAACCGCAUGGUUCUUGGCUGAAAGAUGGCGUAAGCUAUCGCUUUUGGAUGGACCCGCGGCGUAUUAGCUAGUUGGUGAGGUAAUGGCUCACCAAGGCGAUGAUACCGUAGCCGAACUGAGAGGUUGAUCGGCCACAUUGGGACUGAGACACGGCCCAAACUCCUACGGGAGGCAGCAGUAGGGAAUCUUCCACAAUGGACGCAAGUCUGAUGGAGCAACGCCGCGUGAGUGAAGAAGGCUUUCGGGUCGUAAAACUCUGUUGUUGGAGAAGAAUGGUCGGCAGAGUAACUGUUGUCGGCGUGACGGUAUCCAACCAGAAAGCCACGGCUAACUACGUGCCAGCAGCCGCGGUAAUACA
rnacentral:rRNA from 2 species